AUUCCAGCUCCAAUAGCGUAUAUUAAAGUUGUUGCAGUUAAAAAGCUCGUAGUCGGAUUUCGGGGCGGGCCGGGCGGUCUGCCGAUGGGUAUGCACUGUUCGGCGCGUCCUUCUUUCCGGAGACCGCGCCUACUCUUAGCUGAGCGGGCGUGGGAGACGGAUCGUUUACUUUGAAAAAAUCAGAGUGUUUCAAGCAGGCAGCUCGCUCUUGCAUGGAUUAGCAUGGGAUAAUGAAAUAGGACUCUGGUGCUAUUUUGUUGGUUUCGAACACCGGAGUAAUGAUUAACAGGGACAGUCAGGGGCACUCGUAUUCCGUCGAGAGAGGUGAAAUUCUCAGACCAAUGGAAGACGAACCACUGCGAAAGCAUUUGCCAGGGAUGUUUUCAUCG
rnacentral:rRNA from 1 species